UGUGAUUUUCGGUUGGAUAGAUGCUGAAACUGUAUUAGUGAGUGAUUGCUUGUUCGAUUUUUGGAUAUUUAUGUUGAUUACAACUGCUUUGAAAGGAUAUUAAUAAGAUUUAGCAAACCAUUUCUCAUGCUUUUGCUUGUCCCAUCUCACAACUAUUCAACAGCAGGCCCAAUUUCUUUCUCCUCUUUCAUAUCCCAUCUCAGAACUAUUCAGCAGCAGCCCCAAUUCUCUCUCCUCUUGCAUGUGAUUUUCGCUGCGAUUUUCCUUCUUUGGUUUGGGCCGCGAAUUUCAUGAUAAUUAGCAAGAAAUCAUGGAGGAAGAAGUUACCUAUCUUCACUGUAGCAGCUAAUCUUUGUUCAUUCAACUACCCAAAACGCUGAGCCAAACGCCAUGUUACGAUAUAGAAGAAACUUGUUUCGACUGCAACUCUAGCUUCCGUUUGCUAUCAUUGUCUUUCCAGUGGCAGCUCUACGAUGGUUCGUCUUCCUCGCCUUGGCAUUGGCUGCUGCUGCUGCCUCAUCGUCCAUGUUCGCUAGAUAUUCGAACCAAGGGAAUGAAAUGAAAGUGAAUAAGGGAUGUUGAUGAUUGAGGAGCAACCUAACUAUGUUAGAAAUGAGAUGAGUGGAAGUGUUUGUUUGUGGGUACGGUGAUCGGAUCAUGUAGUGUCUGAUAUGUAUUAAUGUGGAGGAAAAUGGCUUAAGCUUGACGGUGUGGUGUGGCUAGACAAGUAGACAAGCUCCAAGCCAAGGCAGGUUUACAUUUAUGUAGUGUUUUGUUUCUUUGGCAAUGGGAUUGGAUUGGUGGGUGACAUGUUGUCUGUGUGUAUAAUUGAUUUGGAUUUGUUAUAGUGAUUUUUGAAAUGAGAAGGUGUUGAUUGGAGAAUGGUCACGUUAAUGAUGAGGGGAUGGAUCGUUCUAAACUUCAGCUUUAGGAUGCGAAACGGACGCUAUGCAAAUCCUGAAUUGGUAAGCCUCUCUCUAUCUUCUCGAUUCAGUCAUCAUGAGCGCGUGGGUCAGUCGGUUGUGCCGAGUGUGACUCAACAGAUUGGAGGGUUGGUUUUUUUUUUUUUUU